ACUCCUACGGGAGGCAGCAGUGAGGAAUAUUGGACAAUGGAGGCAACUCUGAUCCAGCCAUGCCGCGUGCAGGAAGACGGCCCUACGGGUUGUAAACUGCUUUUAUACAGGAAGAACUAUAUCUACGUGUAGAUAUUUGACGGUACUGUACGAAUAAGGAUCGGCUAACUCC
rnacentral:rRNA from 1 species